CAAUAGCGUAUAUUAAAGUUGUUGCAGUUAAAAAGCUCGUAGUUGGAUUUGUGGCGUACGGUGGGUUCCGGGCACUUGUCGUCUGAGUAACUUGCUGUUGCCAUCCUUGGGUGGAACCUGUGUGGCAUUAGGUUGUCGUGCAGGGGAUGCCCAUCAUUUACUGUGAAAAAAUUAGAGUGUUCAAAGUAGGCUUAUGCCGUUGAAUAUAUUAGCGUGGAAUAAUGAGAUAGGACUUUUUUGCUAUUUUGUUGGUUUGCGCAAAGAGGUAAUGAUUAAUAGGGACAGUUGGGGGUAUUCGUAUUCCAUUGUCAGAGGUGAAAUUCUUGGAUUUUUGGAAGACGAACUACUGCGAAAGCAUUUACCAAGGAUGUUUUCAUUAA
rnacentral:rRNA from 1 species